rnacentral:rRNA from 1 species
UACGUAGGUGGCGAGCGUUGUCCGGAUUUACUGGGCGUAAAGCGCGCGCAGGCGGCCGUCCAAGUCCGAUGUGAAAUCUUCCGGCUUAACUGGAAAACGGCAUCGGAUACUGGUCGGCUGGAAGGUGGGAGAGGGUAGCGGAAUUCCCGGUGUAGUGGUGAAAUGCGUAGAUAUCGGGAGGAACACCAGUGGCGAAAGCGGCUACCUGGCCCACUCUUGACGCUGAGGCGCGAAAGCUAGGGGAGCGAACGGG